rnacentral:rRNA from 1 species
UACGUAGGGUGCGAGCGUUGCCCGGAUUUAUUGGGCGUAAAGGGCGCGUAGGCGGCCACGCACGUCCGUUGUGAAAUCGCCCGGCUCAACUGGGCGGGGUCAGCGGAUACGGUGUGGCUCGAGCAAGCUAGGGGGCAAUGGAAUUCCCGGUGUAGUGGUGGAAUGCGUAGAUAUCGGGGAGGAACACCAGUGGCGAAGGCGGUUGCCUGGAGCUUUGCUGACGCUGAGGCGCGAAAGCGUGGGGAGCGAGUCCGG